rnacentral:rRNA from 1 species
GACGAACGCUGGCGGCGUGCUUAACACAUGCAAGUCGAACGGGCCUUGUCCCCUUUUUUUUUGGGGGUGGGGUUAGUGGCGAACGGGUGAGUAACACGUGAGUAACCUGCCCCUCACUUCUGGAUAACCGCUUGAAAGGGUGGCUAAUACGGGGUGUUCUGGCCUGCUCGCAUGGGUGGGUUUGGAAAGAUUCGACCGGUUUUGGUUGUUUUGGUGGGGGAUGGGCUCGCGGCCUAUCAGCUUGUUGGUGGGGUGAUGGCCUGCCAAGGCUUUGACGGGUAGCCGGCCUGAGAGGGUGGGCGGUCACACUGGGACUGAGACACGGCCCAGACUCCUACGGGAGGCAGCAGUGGGGAAUAUUGCACAAUGGGCGCAAGCCUGAUGCAGCGACGCCGCGUGAGGGAUGGAGGCCUUCGGGUUGUGAACCUCUUUCGCCAGUGAAGAAGGUCCUGCUCUUGGUGGUGGGGUUGACGGUAGCUGGGUUAAUGAAGCGCCGGCUAACUACGU